UGUUUCACCCUUCUCAGCAGUGCUAGGCGAGUGGUGAUCGGAUAAAUGAACAUGGUCAAAGGAACAACAAGCUAUACAAACAUAUCUACGAUUUUCGGGAAAUGGUCGAAUCAAGUAUGGCGUCCCUACCCAGGGAGGCAUUUUCCUUCUACGUCUGCAUUGUCCACUAGCUCUGCUCCAAAUGCACAACACACCAUCAGUGCAUGCACUUAAUAAUGCACCACAGUCAGAUGAGUUAGAAG
rnacentral:misc_RNA from 1 species